AGCGAACGCUGGCGGCAGGCCUAACACAUGCAAGUCGAACGAACUCUUCGGAGUUAGUGGCGGACGGGUGAGUAACACGUGGGAACGUGCCUUUUGGUUCGGAAUAACUCAGGGAAACUUGUGCUAAUACCGAAUGUGCCCUUCGGGGGAAAGAUUUAUCGCCAUUAGAGCGGCCCGCGUCUGAUUAGCUAGUUGGUGAGGUAACGGCUCACCAAGGCGACGAUCAGUAGCUGGUCUGAGAGGAUGACCAGCCACACUGGGACUGAGACACGGCCCAGACUCCUACGGGAGGCAGCAGUGGGGAAUCCUGCGCAAUGGGCGAAAGCCUGACGCAGCCAUGCCGCGUGAAUGAUGAAGGUCUUAGGAUUGUAAAAUUCUUUCAACGGGGACGAUAAUGACGGUACCCGGAGAAGAAGCCCCGGCUAACUUCGUG
rnacentral:rRNA from 1 species